rnacentral:pre_miRNA from 1 species
AUAAGUAGACCAUGUCCGGCUUUUACACUAUUAAGCCGAACUACGUCUCCUUAUAC